rnacentral:lncRNA from 1 species
GACCUGGCACUUGCCACCUGCACGGGCAGGAAGCCACAGUGAUUGGGAACUCUGUGGUUGUAUGCAACGUAAGGAUUCUUCAGAGAGCACUCAUAGUUUAAGAGGCGUGUGUAAACUGUAAACUCAAGGAACCCCUGUGACUCUCAUCAGUGUAGAGUGCACCCUCCCACGAGACAGGAGCUUCCUCUGUUGAAUCAGCUUGUAGAAGACUUUAAUGUGAUCCCAAAUGUUACUCACCAGAAAACAGGCUUGUGGGACAAAUCUGUUGAAUGCACCAACUUCCUUAAUCAGUUAUAUUUUAAGGCACAUAUGAGAAUCCAUAAUGGAGAAAAAUUCUUUGAACUGACUCAAUUUUCAGGAGAUUUUACAUGUUCUACAAGGGGAGUUCUGCCUAUCAAAUGUACAUCAUAAAAGCCUUUGAAUGUAAAA